GUUCACGGAAUUUGUAAAAAGGACUAAAUUGAACACAAAUUAAGUUCUUUAGGACUAUAUUGAACAGAAAAAGGACUAAAUUGAACACAAUUACAUUCUUUAGGACUACAUUCAUAACCAAAACUAGGACAAAAAAAAAGUAUUUAACCUUUAUUCUUUUAACCAUUAACAAGAUCAAACAAACUUUUAUAUUGAAUUCUUUGUUUCUCUUUUUUA
rnacentral:lncRNA from 1 species